rnacentral:rRNA from 1 species
AUACGGAGGGUCCAAGCGUUAUCCGGAAUCAUUGGGUUUAAAGGGUCCGCAGGCGGUCAAUUAAGUCAGAGGUGAAAGCCCAUCGCUCAACGAUGGAACUGCCUUUGAUACUGGUUGACUUGAGUUAUACGGAAGUAGAUAGAAUAAGUAGUGUAGCGGUGAAAUGCAUAGAUAUUACUUAGAAUACCGAUUGCGAAGGCAGUCUCCUACGUAUAUACUGACGCUGAGGGACGAAAGCGUGGGGAGCGAACAGGAUUAGAAACCCCAGUAGUCC